rnacentral:lncRNA from 1 species
GCUGUUUUUCAUUGGUUGUUGCGUUUUUAACCACCCUGUGGUGCAGCUCUCAUCAAUGCCUAUUGAUUCAAACGGCUUUUUUUGUCAUUGCUGCCUAGGGAGGAAGAGGCAGGGUGUCACAGGGAGAGAGAAACAGAGGAAAGGGACUGCUCUUUUGCACAGGACAGGGUUGAAGGCUACUGCUACUUUGGAUUCUCAUGCUUCUCUCUCAACAGGACUAACGGAUGGUGUAUGGAAGCACACGAAUCUCCCAGAAUGACGAGUGCUGCUCCUGCCCGGAAACCGUACCGAAAGGCACCUCCGCAGCACCGCGAGGCGCGCCACACUGUGCCAGUAUUUCGAGAGGAUGUUAGCGGGAGUGCCUUGCCAUCCGCCAACCUUGCGCCAUCAGCCCAGCCUGACCCCUGCCAGGUAAUUUUUCCCCGAAAUCAUGCACCUAUUUUGCAGCGUACCCGGUUUACAGGCCCUUACCCACAGUGCCCUGAGAGACCCGUGUGGUCGCAAGGGUCUGACAGCGAGCUCGAUGUCUCAAGCCUGUCUAGCUUGGAGCUCAGUGUCCUCCCCCCACCACGGAUCUUCAGCCACGGUUCUUUUGGCGUGAGACUUCCUCCCAAGCAUCACCGACAUCAAAAAAUGAACUGCUUUAUAAGUCGUAGCGAUGAUCUACUUGCGCUCUCUGCUGACGACGAUCUCGCUUCCUCGGAAAGCUCCCAACAGUGCAUCCCAGGCAGUUCCCCGUCACACUCCACUAGGAGUGUGGAGCGCUUCUUGGUCUUCAAAGAGAAAGCAGAGAUACUUGCACCCAAAGAAGAGCAGCGUCCACCCCAUGCAGCGCCUCUGCUGCAUGCCCAUCCACCCAAGGGCAUCCUCAAGCAGUCUCAUCAUUUGGGAGUCUACUCUUCCGACAGUCUGCGCAAGUCUAAGUCGGCAGAGAUGCUAGCCCAGGCGAGAAGGCGUGGACGCAGCAGGAAGCCCAAAAGUAUGUCCUUGGAUAGGGAGAAGGGCGUACGAGCCUCUCCCACGGGACGUGCUACUUCCACAUCGUCUACAUCUCCCAGCUCUAUGCCACCGGAAUGGAAGAUGCAGCUUCUUGAGGAAAAGAUACAAUUUUCCCAAUUUCUGGACGAAAUCACCUACCGGGUCCUGAGCCCGGCUAGUCUAAAGAUGCUGCGAGGGAACCUUCCAGAGCCAGCAGUGUCUUCAAAAGGGAGCCAAAUCAAGCAGCACAAUAAUCCCCAACAAUAUGAAUCCAAGGACCGUCAUGGNNNNNNNNNNNNNNNNNNN